CCACGCUGUAAACGAUGGAUACUAGGUGCUGGGACAAUAUGUUUCGGUGCCGUAGCUAACGCGUUAAGUAUCCCGCCUGGGGAGUACGGUCGCAAGGCUGAAACUCAAAGAAAUUGACGGGGGCCCGCACAAGCGGUGGAGUAUGUGGUUUAAUUCGAUGCAACGCGAAGAACCUUACCCAGGCUUGACAUCUAGGGAACCUAACAGAGAUGUUGGGGUGCUCUUCGGAGAACCCUAAGACAGGUGCUGCAUGGCUGU
rnacentral:rRNA from 1 species